rnacentral:rRNA from 1 species
CAGUCGCCGCGGGAAUACGAAGGGUGCAAGCGUUACUCGGGAUUACUGGGCGUAAAGCGUGCGUAGGUGGUUCGUUAAGUCUGAUGUGAAAGCCCUGGGCUCAACCUGGGAAUUGCAUUGGAUACUGGCGAGCUAGAGUGCGGUAGAGGGUAGUGGAAUUCCCGGUGUAGCAGUGAAAUGCGUAGAGAUCGGGAGGAACAUCUGUGGCGAAGGCGACUGCCUGGACCAGCACUGACACUGAGGCACGAAAGCGUGGGGAGCAAACAGGAUUAGAUACCCGAGUAGUCCCUGUCUCUUAUAC